AGCUUUAUAUUCAUAAAAUGAUUACAGAAUGCAAUUCUAUAGGAGUAAUAAAUAGUUACUAAGGCUU
rnacentral:tRNA from 1 species